rnacentral:lncRNA from 1 species
CCCCGCGCACUGCCCUGGGCCCGCCCCGUCUUCAGUCCAGGCCCGGCUUCCGCACGGUCUCCCGGCAACACUGCGGCCCCGCCCACGUCAUGGCGCCCGAGGAGAACGCUGGGACCUAACUCUUGCUGCAGAGUUUGCAGCGCCGCUUUCUGGCGGCGCGCGCGCUGCGCUCCUUCCCCUGGCAGGUGGGCGGCGGGGCGAGCGGAGAGGCCCGCAGGGCUCGCGGGAGUCCAGGGGCAGACGGGAUGGGUCUCCGUGCAGAAGCCCCCGACACGCCCGCCACAGCUUAGAAGCAAAAUUAACAGACUCAUCAGAUUCUGAGCUUCUGCGGGAUAUUUUGCAGAAGACUGUGAAGCAUCCUGUGUGUGUGACGCACCCGCCGUCAGUCAAGUAUGCCCGGUGCUUUCUCUCAGAACUCAUCAAAAAGCACGAGGCUGUCCACACGGAGCCUUUGGACGAGCUGUAUGAGGUGCUGGUGGAGACCCUGAUGGCCAAGGAGUCCACUCAGGGCCACUGGAGCUAUUUGCUGCCCUCAGGAGGCUCAGUCACACUCUCCUAGAGCACAGCCAUCAUCUCCCAGGCAUCACAGGCCUGGUCACAUGGGAUGCUACCCUCUACCUUGCAGAAUGGGCCAUCGAGAACCCGGCAGCCUUCACUCAUAGGACUGUCCUAGAGCUUGGCAGUGGUGCUGGCCUCACAGCCCUGGCCAUCUGCAAGAUGUGCCGCCCCCGGGCAUACAUCUUCAGCGACUGUCACAGCCGGGUCCUCAAACAGCUCCGAGGGAAUGUCCUUCUCAAUGGCCUCUCAUUAGAGGCAGACAUCACUGCCAACUUAGCCCCAGAGUGACAGUGGCCCAGCUGGACUGGGACAUCGCGAUGGUCCAUCAGCUCUCUGCCAUCCAGCCAGAUGUUGUCAUUGCAGCAGACGUGCUGUAUUGCCCAGAAGCCAUCGUGUUGC